rnacentral:misc_RNA from 1 species
AAGUCGUAACAAGGUUUCCGUAGGUGAACCUGCGGAAGGAUCAUUAGUGAAUUUAGGGUGACUAUUCGUAGUGCCCGACCUCCACUUCUAACACUGUGCACUUAUUGGCGAGAGAAUUGAAAUAGUAAGGGUGGCGUUCUGCGCCUCACGAACUUCAAAUCUCUUGCGGCUUUAUUUUAUAACUCCAAGUUAAAGAAUGUAACCAAAUAUAAAACAAAAAAAAACUUUCAACAACGGAUCUCUUGGCUCUC